UACGUAGGGGGCGAGCGUUGUCCGGAAUUAUUGGGCGUAAAGAGCUCGUAGGCGGUUCGGCAAGUCACGUGUGAAAUCUCCACGCUCAACGUGGAGGCGCCACGUGAGACUGCUGUGACUCGAGUUCGGUAGGGGAGACUGGAAUUCCUGGUGUAGCGGUGAAAUGCGCAGAUAUCAGGAAGAACACCCGUGGCGAAAGCGGCUCUCUGGAACGGUACUGACGCUGAGACGCGAAAGCGUGGGGAGCAAACAGG
rnacentral:rRNA from 1 species